AUUGAACGCUGGCGGCAGGCCUAACACAUGCAAGUCGAACGAGUGGCGGACGGGUGAGUAAUGUCUGGGAAACUGCCUGAUGUAGGGGGAUAACGACUGGAAACGGUAGCUAAUACCGCAUACCAUCAGAUGUGCCCAGAUGGGAUUAGCUAGUAGGUGGGGUAAUGGCUCACCUAGGCGACGCUCCCUAGCUGGUCUGAGAGGAUGAUCAGCCACACUGGAACUGAGACACGGUCCAGACUCCUACGGGAGGCAGCAGUGGGGAAUAUUGCACAAUGGGCGAAAGCCUGAUGCAGCCAUGCCGCGUGUAUGAAGAAGGCCUUCGGGUUGUAAAGUACUUUCAGCGAGGAGGCGUUACUCGCAGAAGAAGCACCGGCUAACUCCGUGCCAGCAGCCGCGGUAAUAC
rnacentral:rRNA from 1 species